GAUGAACGCUAGCGGCAGGCCUAAUACAUGCAAGACGAACGGUAAGUUGAGUAGCAAUACUUAGCCAAGAGUGUCGUACGGGUGCGUAACACGUAUGCAACCUACCCUAUACAGGAGGAUAGCCUAGGGAAACCUGGAUUAACCCUUCAUAGUAUUAUUGGAUGGCAUCAUUUGAUAAUUAAAACUGAGGUGGUAUAGGAUGGGCAUGCGUCUGAUUAGUUAGUUGGCGGGGUAAUGGCCCACCAAGACGAUGAUCAGUAGGGGUUCUGAGAGGAAGAUCCCCCACACUGGCACUGAGAUACGGGCCAGACUCCUACGGGAGCAGCGGUAGGGAAUAUUGGUCAAUGGAUGCAAGUCUGAACCAGCAAUGCCGCGUGAGUGAAGAAGGCCUUCGGGUUGUAAAGGCUCUUUUGUCAGGAAGAACGUGAGUUCUAAUACAGCUUG
rnacentral:rRNA from 1 species